AAAAUACAAAAUUAUAAGAAAUGGGAGAGAGAAGGGGCUCUCGAAGUUAAAAGCAUCGUUGCGCUGCUUCCUCUUGCUCCCAGAUCUUCAUUUCACAGAAACGCGCCUUCUCUGCCCUCUUCACCCUCCAAAAUUUUCAAAUUUCAAAGCAAAUAACAGAAACAUACAGACAAAAAUAGCAAAAUCCCUUAGCGUUUAUUUUCGAUUUUAAGGUGUUUCUUCCUGUAGGCGAUGCCAGGUCUCCAUCGAUCCUCCAGCGCCUCGUAUAAGAACGGCGGCCUUCCUCCUCAAGAACUUCUCGACGAUCUCUGCAGCCGUUUUGUCUUAAAUGUGCCAAAGGAAGAUCAACAAUCAUUUGAGAGGAUUUUGUUUCUCGUGGAGUAUGCUCAUUGGUUCUAUGAGGAUAAUUCAGUAGAAAAUAAUCCAUCGCUGAAGUCAUUUACUUUGAAGGAAUUCACUUCAUUACUUUUUAACAGUUGUGAUGUAUUUAGACCUUAUGUUGCUCACAUAGAUGACAUAUUCAAGGAUUUCACUUCAUACAAGGUUCGAGUUCCAGUAACUGGGGCAAUCAUUCUAGAUGAAACCUAUGAACGGUGCAUACUAGUGAAGGGAUGGAAAGGAUCAAGCUGGAGUUUUCCACGUGGAAAGAAAAACAAAGAUGAGGAAGAUCAUACAUGUGCUGUCCGCGAAGUCCUGGAGGAAACAGGUUUUGAUGUAUCAAUGCUUCUUAAUAAAGAUGAUUACAUUGAAGUGAUAUUUGGACAGCAGAGGGUGCGGCUCUACAUAAUUGCUGGUGUCAAAGAUAAUGCUGCCUUUGCCCCUCAAACAAAAAAGGAGAUCAGUGAAAUUGCAUGGCACCGACUUGAUGACCUUCAGCCUGCAAGUGCAGAUGUGAUAUCCCAUGGGAUCACUGGUCUGAAGCUUUACAUGGUGGCUCCUUUUUUGAUAUCUUUGAAAGAAUGGAUUUCAGCACAUAAGCCCCCAAUUUCUCCAAAUCCUGAUAUGCCUCGUAAAGGGAUGUGUGUGUGGAAAGCAAAGAGCAGUUCAAAUGGGAGUAACACAAUUAUUCUGGAGAAUCAAUCAACCAAACCUUCACCUCAUUCUCAGCCUCUUGACACGGGCCCGGGCAAAAGCUUCAGGAACUUUAGAUUCGAUACUGCUGCUAUCUUGCAAGCAAUGGAAGCUGGUUUCUCAACUUAAAGGUCAAACUUGGUUUUGUCUUUGUAAAUUUCAAGUUCAUGUAGCUGCUUUGGUUUCUUCUGUUCCAGCUGUAUUACCGAAAAGUGUUGACCAUCUUUCAUGGAGAAUUGGUGGCUGUACCAGCUGUAUAUGUUUGUCAGAUUAUCAGGUUUGGUUAACAGGUAAAGCAAAAUCUUAUCCAGUCAACUGAUCAUGACUGGAGCUAGAUGAAUAUGCUGUGAUGUUCAAAAUCUUACCCAGGUAAAGCAAAAUCUUUGCAUUGACUAUUCAUCAUCAUCUGGGAGAGAGAGGUAUGGAGGUUGACUAGCUCUAAUCACCGAAGGAGUAGCAAGGGAAAACUACUGAUCCUAAGGGGGAAUAUUUGUUUUUCAAACUUUAGGUCCGUGACAGAGUGCAAGAAGGAACGAACGCCGGAGCUUGGCCUCAUCUCUCGAACUCGAGUUGCAUAAUUAACAAUAUUCUCCGGAAAUUCAAUAAUGUCUGCGCAACGAUCAGAUUUCGGGACGAGAACGACAGUGCGGAAGGUAGCACUCAAAUCUGAGUAGUGAGAUGGUGGGAGCAUACAAACAAGGUCAGAAGUAUGGUGCCAGUUCUCAACUUUCUACGUCCACCACGGGGAUCCAGCUUCAAUACCAGUGUCCACAGACUUCAAUGGAAAGCCGAGCUCUUUAAGAGUUGGGAUGUACGAUUGGUAUUCGGUUAGGCAAUAAUUAGCCUUUGAGCGGCAUUCAUUCUGUGUGCCUUCUGGAUAAGUAAGCGCAAGAACAAAAUCGGUUGCGAGACUCUGCGUCUCAAAUGUACCAACAUCUUGAAUUGCUAAAGCAAAAGGGAGAGGAAUCUCGACAUCUUUAGUAUAACUCGGAGCGGAGGCGUACGAGUGCCGUGUCGGCCGUCUUACUUGGGGAUACGGCGAAGCUCAGCAUAAAGUGCGGACAUACAGAUCUCCGCCGUCAGAUCGGCGAUUUCUGUUGAUUCUGCCUCGAUUUCAGCCUGGCGCCGAGUUGAAUGGGUGUAGUCACUGUAGUAUCGGAUGGGAAGGGCCUUCCUGAAACACUGAUUGAGACAACGACGAAAUUCAGCGACAUUAAUCUCAUACGUAACGAGAUCCAGUACCGUCUUGCCAAAUGGGCGCCGAUAUCCAAGUAUUUUUUGGUCCUUGAGAUAACGCAGAUACAGAGGAUUCACUUCCACUGUAACUCACUUUUGUUCUCGAGCGAAUAGCUCAGGUGGUGACCCUGCUUUAGGAGCGGUUCUAGAAGAUUUUCCUUCUCCAGACUUAUCAAAAGGUAGAGCGGAUAAAGGAGUUCCUUCCAUCGUCUUCAUUUUCUUGCAAGGCUGAAUGUUUUCAGUCGGAGUUCCCAUUGCAGCGAGCUAAAUUUUUGUUUUAAUAAAACUUCAUGUAAA